rnacentral:rRNA from 1 species
AGAGUUUGAUCAUGGCUCAGGACGAACGCUGGCGGCGUGCUUAACACAUGCAAGUCGAACGGUGACCUCGAGAGCUUGCUCUUGGGUGAUCAGUGGCGAACGGGUGAGUAACACGUGAGUAACCUGCCCCAGACUCUGGAAUAACCCCGGGAAACCGGAGCUAAUACCGGAUACGAGACGGAGCCGCAUGGCUACCGUUUGGAAAGUUUUUCGGUCUGGGAUGGACUCGCGGCCUAUCAGCUAGUUGGUGAGGUAACGGCUCACCAAGGCGACGACGGGUAGCCGGCCUGAGAGGGCGACCGGCCACACUGGGACUGAGACACGGCCCAGACUCCUACGGGAGGCAGCAGUGGGGAAUAUUGCACAAUGGGCGAAAGCCUGAUGCAGCGACGCCGCGUGAGGGAUGAAGGCCUUCGGGUUGUAAACCUCUUUCAGCAGGGAAGAAGCGAAAGUGACGGUACCUGCAGAAGAAGCACCGGCUAACUACGUGCCAGCAGCCGCGGUA